rnacentral:rRNA from 1 species
GACGAACGCUGGCGGCGUGCUUAACACAUGCAAGUCGAGCGGUGAAGCUUCAGCUUGCUGGAGUGGAUCAGUGGCGAACGGGUGAGUAACACGUGAGCAACCUGCCCCUGACUCUGGAAUAAGCGCUGGAAACGGCGUCUAAUACUGGAUACGAGAAGGGUCCGCAUGGGCACUUUCUGGAAAGUUUUUCGGUUGGGGAUGGGCUCGCGGCCUAUCAGCUUGUUGGUGAGGUAAUGGCUCACCAAGGCGACGACGGGUAGCCGGCCUGAGAGGGCGACCGGCCACACUGGGACUGAGACACGGCCCAGACUCCUACGGGAGGCAGCAGUGGGGAAUAUUGCACAAUGGGCGAAAGCCUGAUGCAGCGACGCCGCGUGAGGGAUGACGGCCUUCGGGUUGUAAACCUCUUUCAGCAGGGAAGAAGCGAAAGUGACGGUACCUGCAGAAGAAGCACCGGCUAACUACGUG